rnacentral:lncRNA from 1 species
GCGGGGCCUUGCGUCUUGACGGCUGCUCCCCUCCUUUCCUCCCGCCACAAGCGCUCGCUGUGGUUCUGGCAGCGAAGUGCGAGACUGGGCUCGCCAGGCGGAAGUGGUUGGAGACUGCGUGUUUUCCUAGAAAGUCCUCGACCUUCGUCGGGGAGAGGAGGGGAGUGAUAAAUUGGAAGGCGGACAAGCGACAAGUGCGGUACUGGAAAGACCCAAACAUACUUGGUUGUGACCUCAGGUCACAUCUCCCAAGAAGCAGUAAUGUUCCAGCAAUAAGAAAAGGACAGUUUUUUGUCUUUUGCAUGGUGAGCCUUAUAUGAAUUACAUCAAUUUUGUCACCAAUAUCCAUCAUCAGAACAUUUUGGGAUUUGAUUUAGGACAAAUUGUUAUUUGGAUGGAUGCUUGUCUAUUGAGAGAGUAAUUGUUAAACUAAAGGAAACUGGUCACAAAUACUUUAGCAGUGGCUAUAAAUGACCAGUGGGCCAAGGAUUUUGAGAUCGUGAGAGACUUCUCCGGGAAUGUUGUCAUUCAUUUCACUCCAGUGUGGCUCUUUUCCUCCAUCUGCGCUCACUUUUCUAGGAGAACUAUGGCCACUAUGGAGAAUAUGAAAACAUUGCUGAAGGAGGUGAAAGCCAUUUCAGAAGAAGAGUUAUAUAUUAGCUUUUGGCAGUGACAGCGUUAUGGGCACGGACAUUCAGCCUUUCCAGUUGACUGCUUUGAAGGGGCAAUGUUCACGUGGAAGUAUACCUCCUAGUACGUUUGCUAAAAUAAAAUCAGCUUCAUUACCUAAUAACAUAAAUGACUUUGGGAGAAAACUCUGAGUCUCAUGUUUUAUUUUUCCUGAUAAUGCUGUUCAAUUAGGGCAGACUUUGUGGAAAUUCUGAUUUCAUUACCCAUCACUGCUGCAUGAAAAUACGCUUUCUGAAGUCACGCUCUGAAAGAAACUAAGUUGUUUGCUACAACUACCCCUACACAGAAAUUAGAAAAUUAUAUGAGAAGAAGUUUACUUCAGCCUGCAGUUGGGACACAGGUUAUUACUGAAAGUAGUCGUCGGCAUGGUUUCUGGUUUCACAGUAAAAGAAGACGACUUGAAAGGACUCAGUGGUUUUGAUGCUCUUCUGAAAUGAAAACACUCAGUGAGCACAUAGCAUUGGGUUGUCAUUAAUGUCAGCCAAGCGAAAACACUGUCUCCAUGAACACUGCAGUCAUUUCCCCGCCGAGACCAUGACUUUCCACUCCCUGGCAUUUCGGGCACUGUGCUAGUACUUUUCCAAAAGAGACUCUUAAGGCAAUUCAUUCUAGAUAAUCAAACACACACAACAGUCUUAAAUGAAUAGGUGGCCUGAAUUUGCUAAAGUCAGCCAACAAUUUCCAGGGGAGAAUGUGUUAUUUUCUGAGAAAUACUGUAAGGC